rnacentral:rRNA from 1 species
UACGUAGGUGGCAAGCGUUGUCCGGAAUUAUUGGGCUUAAAGCGCGCGCAGGCGGUCCUUUAAGUCUGAUGUGAAAGCCCACGGCUCAACCGUGGAGGGUCAUUGGAAACUGGGGGACUUGAGUACAGAAGAGGAAAGUGGAAUUCCACGUGUAGCGGUGAAAUGCGUAGAGAUGUGGAGGAACACCAGUGGCGAAGGCGACUUUCUGGUCUGUAACUGACGCUGAGGCGCGAAAGCGUGGGGAGCAAACAGG